CAGGAAUGUGGCUCAGGUCCCAACCAUCAGGCAGUGAGGCAAAACAACUUGAAAGAUGAAGUUGGAAAGACGCAGCUUCUUUUUUUAAGAAGGUUUGCAAGAUGCAGAAGAAACGUGCCAGACUCUGACUUCGCAGGGGGGGCCUUCUGCAGACGAGGGGCUUGGUUCCCAGCACCGGCGUGUGUGUGAAGAUGGCCCUGGGAUGAGAGCGUAACACCGGUGACAACACCUCUCCCCGCUCGCUCACCUUGGCCAGCUGCCUCACGGUCACGGCACUAGGCACGAAAAGGGAAAAAAAGGAAAGGCUGACCUCAAUCCAUGCUGCCCUUUGUUCUGGAUCCUGGAUACUUGGUGAGAGCCUCGCAGAGGCCCCCAGCCCCCCACCAGCAAGCAGGAGCCAAAAGCAGUUUCUAAGCUGUUAGCCUCAGGAUUCUGGCUACAUGGAGAGGAAUGGCUUGUUCCCGGAGUGGAAUCCGGCUGGAGGACUGCCAACUGCUGGGCUCUGGGAAUGCUGCAUUUGUUCCAGCAAGGGAACUGGAACUG
ensembl:lncRNA